rnacentral:rRNA from 1 species
AACGAACGCUGGCGGCAUGCCUAACACAUGCAAGUCGAACGAGAUCUUCGGGUCUAGCGGCGCACGGGUGCGUAACGCGUGGGAAUCUGCCCUUUGGUUCGGAAUAACAGUUGGAAACGACUGCUAAUACCGGAUGAUGACGAAAGUCCAAAGAUUUAUCGCCAGAGGACGGGCCCGCGUAGGAUUAGCUAGUUGGUGUGGUAAAGGCGCACCAAGGCGACGAUCCUUAGCUGGUCUGAGAGGAUGAUCAGCCACACUGGGACUGAGACACGGCCCAGACUCCUACGGGAGGCAGCAGUGGGGAAUAUUGGACAAUGGGCGAUAGCCUGAUCCAGCAAUGCCGCGUGAGUGAUGAAGGCCUUAGGGUUGUAAAGCUCUUUUACCCGGGAUGAUAAUGACAGUACCGGGAGAAUAAGCUCCGGCUAACUCCGUGCCAGCCGCCGCAGUAA